ACUGAAUAUUGGUUUGAACAGUGCGAUGGAAGUCUUCAAAUGUAUAAAAAAAAAUGAAAGUCUUUGUGCUGGUUAUUUACAUACGGGAACGAAAAUUUAACUUCAAAUUGUGAAAAAGAGUGAGGGGUAAGAUUCAUUCAAAAAAAUAUCGUCUGAUCCAAAAUUCGUUCGAAAAAAUAUUGUCAGGCAAAAUUUAAAACCAGAAAAAAUAUUAUGAAUUCUGAUCUUCUAAAACCUUAUAGUGUUAAGUUUUGAAAGAAAAAAAUAUAUUUCAGACAAGAAAACCAUACCCCCUUUAAAGUUAAAUGAUAAACUUACUUCCUUGUUGAUGGAUUGUUUCAUGGCUUGCUAAAGGUAGAGUAUUGUUGCAUGUUUCACAUUCGAGUAAUAUAUAUA
rnacentral:lncRNA from 1 species